UUUGGGUACAGCCUCUCACUGCAAUAUUGAUGGCCCGUCAGUGCGGCCCUGAUUCCUGUGCUUUCAGUUAAAAGGUUUCUGUUGUUGUAGCUUAUGCAGUUGCUCUGUUGCUAUGGAAACAUGACAUCAAAAUGACGUUUCCCGUUUAAAAGCUUUUAACUAAAUUCCUGCCUGUCAGAUGUAGGCCCCAUUUUGAGCGUGGAGCCGCCUCGAGCAAGCGAGUGAACAAGUGCACUGCCUCUCGCCCAUGGUGCGCGGGCCAGGCCUGAGGCCCUGCCUGAGUGCCCUCCUUACCCCCGCAGGUGCCUCCAGCAUGGCAGCAGCCGAAGUGCCUGGCUACCUUGUGUCUCCUCAGACCGAGAAGCAUCGGCGGGCCCGCAACUGGACAGACGCUGAGAUGCGCGGCCUCAUGCUGGUCUGGGAGGAGUUCUUCGAUGAGCUCAAGCAGACCAAGCGCAAUGCCAAGGUGUAUGAGAAGAUGGCCAGCAAGCUCUUCGAGAUGACUGGGGAGCGCCGGCUAGGCGAGGAGAUCAAAAUCAAAAUCACCAACAUGACCUUCCAGUACAGGAAAUUAAAAUGCAUGACAGAUAGCGAGUCCGUCCCGCCGGACUGGCCCUAUUACCUAGCCAUUGAUAGGAUUCUGGCCAAGGUCCCUGAGUCCUGUGAGGGCAAACUGCCGGAUGGCCAGCAGCCGGGGCCCUCCACGUCCCAGACCGAGGCGUCCCUGUCGCCGUCUGCUAAGUCCACCCCUCUGUACUUACCGUAUACCCAGUGCUCCUAUGAAGGCCGCUUCGAGGACGAUCGCUCCGACAGCUCCUCCAGCUUACUGUCCCUUAAGUUCAGGUCAGAGGAGCGCCCUGUGAAGAAACGCAAGAUGAGGAGCUGUCACCUACAGAAAAAGAAGCUGCGCCUGCUGGAGGCCAUGCUAGAAGAGCAGCGCAGGCUGAGUCGAGCCAUGGAGGAGACAUGCCGAGAGGUGCGCCGCGUGCUGGACCAGCAGAACAUCCUGCAGGUUCAGAGCCUGCAGCUGCAGGAGCGAAUGAUGAGCUUGCUGGAGAAGAUCAUCGCCAAGUCCAAUGUCUAGACCGUGGAGAGGAUGCAGGUGCCACGCAGUCCUCUCCAGGCCCACCCAGGCCCAGAGUCCUGCCCACCCAGGCAGGGUUCCAGAAAGGGGACAGGCUUCCGCCUGGCCUCUGUGCUUCUCUGAAGGGCUUUCUAGGACUCCAGUGGCAUAGGGAGACUGGGCCCUCCAUCUCCAGCAUUAACGCCAGGGACUCCAGGAUGGCAGGUGGUGAGGAGGUCCCAGAAGCCACUCUCCAGCAUAGUCACUAUCUGAUACUUGAACCAGCUUUUGAUAUUAAACAUACUUUCCAUUAUUGCCUGGAAGCCAACUUUCCUCUCUCUGGUAUGAAGGGGAAGGGGAAGUGCUGGUUUGAAUGAUCCUCUUCGGUAGACAAAAGCAGGUGCUAUAGGACAGAGGCAAGCGGUGUGUGUGUGUGUGUGUGUGUGUGUGUGUGUGUGUGUGUGUGUGUAGGGGUCUUUCCUCCACAGGAUCUGUAACAGAUACCCUGACUACCCAGUUAUCCCAGUACUAACUCAACCCAGCCACCCCUUAGUCAUCUGUUUGGAACUUCCCACCAGCACAGGAUCCAGCCAAUCCGCCACUCACCCCCCAUUUGUGCCCUCCUGCCCUGUGAUCUGAGUCCCAGUGAGAGCAGUGCUAUGCUAAGUGAAGCACAGGUCCUGGCUUUAGGAAGCUUUCGUUCAGUCAUCAGAGAAAUGGUAGCCAGUGACAGUGAGCGCUCAAGGGAAAGGUUGGGCCUGCGACAGAAGGAACCAGAUUCAGGUGGAGAAAGGAAGACCAGCCAUUGCGAACAACACCUAGAGCACCUGUUGCCAGCGGCCAGCCAGCAGCCAGAUCACCCAGAGCCAUGCACUUCGGGGAGGAAUUUGUGUUUUCUCUAAGCUUGCUGGGAAUAGGCAGAAGACCGAACACACUGAUCCAGUUUGCCACUGAUAUUCUACCACAUGAAAGGCUCUCCCCAGGACCCCCUCACUAAAUAUCCACGGUUUCAUUGGCUAGGCCUCAGCUCUUUGACUGAGGCCACAGAGGAGACUGGAAGCAGGCCUGUCUGAGUCACCCCUUGGAACCAGCACUUUCGAUGAUCCAGAAGACCAAAAACACAAAACCUCAAGCGCUUCAACCUGAAAGCAUUAAAAUCGAGACUGAGAAACGAGUCCACUCAACUGAGACCAGAGUCGUCGACUGCCCAGGAGUGGAUUCACCCAGAGAGACAGAGGCCCUUGUGAAGAUAUGCAGUGUCACUGAAGGAUGCAAGACAGUACGCAGGCGUGGGGCGCUGGGUGGGCCAGAAAGCCUCCAGAGAAAGCCUGCACGUUGUAUUCACGUGAUCCCGGUAUGCUCCUGAAAGAACUGUAGAUUUUCUUGUGAAACAACAAAAAAUAUGUUUAAAUUCAUAUGAAACAAAGAAUAGGGCCAAAGGUGGGAAGACUCGCUCGGUUGCUCGAAGUUGGGACACAGCAGGAGCCCGUGGUGGUGCUAAUGAGAAAUGUCCCUCACAGUCUCACAAAUCGAAUGCCCAGCCUCCAGGUGGUGGCGCUGUUUCCAAGGCUUAGGGUAUGACCUUGCUGGAGAAGCUAUGUCACCAGAGGCAGGUUUUGAGAAUAUAAGACUUGUGUGAUUCCUAGUGAGCUCUGCUUCUUGCUUGUGGUUUAAGAUAAGAACCCUCAGGUGUCCCUGCCACCAUGCCUGCCUGCUGCCACACUUCCAUGAUACGAUGGUGAUAGUCUCUUAUCCCUCUGGAACCAUGAGACAAAAUAAACCGUUCCUUCUAUUAAGUUGC